rnacentral:lncRNA from 1 species
CUUGGACUUGAGCCUUAUGACUCGACCUGACUUGAUACCCUCCCCAAGCCCAAAUAUAAAAAAUGAUGCUAUUAAAAAAAGUGUGCAGCGCAUCAACUCUUCAUUUAACGUAUUACAGUUUGAAUCGGACAGCAGCCAAUCAAAUUGUGCCAGCUGAGAAAAAGUUGUGCGAGGCAGUGCAGAGAAACGUCGGCGGGUGAAUUCAGAUGGAGCCCUUGGAAAGAUGAUACCCAAAAUUAUUAUUUUCGGAUAUAAAGACGAUGCUGUAUCAACAAAAAAACGGAUUGCAACUUGCAAAACAUGCGGGAAGAAAAUGGCAGACUGAGGCGCAACAAUUUCCAACUUUGUUCGACAUUUGGUAACGGUGACACAGACAUGAAAGUAGCACGUUUUGAGACACAUCACAGGAGUGGAGUGGGCUAUGAGAUGGAAGGCAGUGUGGCUCCACUCCACAGGUCAGGCCACAGCGCUCCUCU